rnacentral:rRNA from 1 species
UUCCGGUUGAUCCUGCCGGACUUGACUGCUAUCGGAUUGAUACUAAGCCAUGCGAGUCAUUGUAGCAAUACAAGGCAUACGGCUCAGUAACGCGUAGUCAACCUAACCUAUGGACGGGAAUAACCUCGGGAAACUGAGAAUAAUGCCCGAUAGAACAUUAUGCCUGGAAUGGUUUAUGUUCCAAAUGAUUUAUCGCCGUAGGAUGGGACUGCGGCCUAUCAGUUUGUUGGUGAGGUAAUGGCCCACCAAGACUAUUACAGGUACGGGCUCUGAGAGGAGUAGCCCGGAGAUGGGUACUGAGACACGGACCCAGGCCCUAUGGGGCGCAGCAGGCGAGAAAACUUUGCAAUGUGCGAAAGCACGACAAGGUUAAUCCGAGUGAUUUCUGCUAAAGAGAUCUUUUGUUAGUCCUAGAAACACUAACGAAUAAGGGGUGGGCAAGUUCUGGUGUCAGCCGCCGCGGUAAAACCAGCACCUCAAGUGGUCAGGAUGAUUAUUGGGCCUAAAGCAUCCGUAGCCGGUUCUGUAAGUUUUCGGUUUAAUCUGUACGCUUAACGUACAGGCUGCCGGGAAUACUGCAGAACUAGGGAGUGGGAGAGGUAGACGGUACUCGGUAGGAAGGGGUAAAAUCCUUUGAUCUAUCGAUGACCACCUGUGGCGAAGGCGGUCUACCAGAACAUGUCCGACGGUGAGGGAUGAAAGCUGGGGGAGCAAACCGGAUUAGAUACCCGGGUAGUCCCAGCUGUAAACUAUGCAAACUCAGUGAUGCGUUGGCUUGUGGCCAACGCAGUGCUGCAGGGAAGCCGUUAAGUUUGCCGCCUGGGAAGUACGUACGCAAGUAUGAAACUUAAAGGAAUUGGCGGGGGAGCACCACAAGGGGUGAAGCCUGCGGUUCAAUUGGAUUCAACGCCGGA